rnacentral:rRNA from 1 species
AGUGAACGCUGGCGGUAGGCCUAACACAUGCAAGUCGAACGGCAGCACAGUAAGAGCUUGCUCUUACGGGUGGCGAGUGGCGGACGGGUGAGGAAUACAUCGGAAUCUACUUUUUCGUGGGGAUAACGUAGGGAAACUUACGCUAAUACCGCAUACGACCUACGGGUGAAAGUAGGGGAUCUUCGGACCUUGCGCGAUUGAAUGAGCCGAUGUCGGAUUAGCUAGUUGGCGGGGUAAAGGCCCACCAAGGCGACGAUCCGUAGCUGGUCUGAGAGGAUGAUCAGCCACACUGGAACUGAGACACGGUCCAGACUCCUACGGGAGGCAGCAGUGGGGAAUAUUGGACAAUGGGCGCAAGCCUGAUCCAGCCAUACCGCGUGGGUGAAGAAGGCCUUCGGGUUGUAAAGCCCUUUUGUUGGGAAAGAAAAGCAGCAGGUUAAUACCCCGCUGUUCUGACGGUACCCAAAGAAUAAGCACCGGCUAACUUCGUG